AAUCAACGNUGGCGGCGUGCCUAACACAUGCAAGUCGAACGAGAAAGGGACUUCGGUCCUGAGUAUAGUGGCGCACGGGUGAGUAACACGUGAAUAAUCUACCUCCGAGUGGGGAAUAACCAAGAGAAAUCUUGGCUAAUACCGCAUAACACUUACGAGUCAAAGCAGCAAUGCGCUUGGAGAGGAGUUCGCGGCAGAUUAGUUAGUUGGCGGGGUAAUGGCCCACCAAGACGAUGAUCCGUAUCCGGCCUGAGAGGGCGCACGGACACACUGGAACUGAAACACGGUCCAGACUCCUACGGGAGGCAGCAGUGGGGAAUUUUGCGCAAUGGGGGAAACCCUGACGCAGCAACGCCGCGUGGAGGAUGAAGUAUCUUGGUACGUAAACUCCUUUCGAUGGGGAAGAUAAUGACGGUACCCAUAGAAGAAGCCCCGGCUAACUUCGUGCCAGCAGCCGCGGUAAUACGAGGGGGGCAAGCGUUGUUCGGAUUUAUUGGGCGUAAAGGGUGCGUAGGCGGUUUGGCAAGUCUUAUGUGAAAUCUUCGGGCUCAACCCGAAGCCUGCAUAAGAAACUGCCGGGCUUGAGUAUUGGAGAGGUGAGUGGAAUUUCCGGUGUAGCGGUGAAAUGCGUAGAUAUCGGAAGGAACACCUGUGGCGAAAGCGGCUCACUGGACAAUAACUGACGCUGAUGCACGAAAGCUAGGGGAGCAAACAGGAUUAGAUACCCUGGUAGUCCUAGCCCUAAACGAUGAUUGUUUGAUGUGGCAGGUACCCAAUCCUGCCGUGUCGAAGCUAACGCGAUAAACAAUCCGCCCGGGGAGUACGGUCGCAAGGCUGAAACUCAAAUGAAUUGACGG
rnacentral:rRNA from 1 species